rnacentral:rRNA from 1 species
GGACGAACGCUGGCGGCGUGCCUAACACAUGCAAGUCAACGGGGAUUUGUUUCGGCAGAAUCCUAGUGGCGAACGGGUGAGUAACGCGUAGGCAACCUGCCCUCCGGCCGGGGACAACACUCCGAAAGGGGUGCUAAUACCGGAUACGAAGUCUGUGCCGCAUGGUACGGAUUUGAAAGAUGGCCUCUAUUUAUAAGCUAUCGCCGGGGGAUGGGCCUGCGUCCGAUUAGCUGGUUGGUGGGGUAACGGCCUACCAAGGCGACGAUCGGUAGCCGGUCUGAGAGGAUGAACGGCCACAUUGGGACUGAGACACGGCCCAGACUCCUACGGGAGGCAGCAGUGGGGAAUCUUCCGCAAUGGGCGCAAGCCUGACGGAGCAACGCCGCGUGAGUGAGGAAGUUCUUCGGAACGUAAAGCUCUGUUGUUCCUGACGAACCUCCCUUCUAUGAACAACGGAGGGGACUGACGGUAGGGAACGAGGAAGCCACGGCUAACUACGUGCCAGCCGCUGC